UAUAAAAUCACACGGGUUACAUAUAUCCCGAAUCAUAAUAUUCUUUGAUAGCGGCAGCUACGUUUGAAUCACCGGUAACGCUCAUUUAAAAAAAAAAAACACACCAGACACGGAAUAUCUUUGUGGUCACAGCGUCCAAUCAAGUCCUCCCUCUCAUCCAAUCAGCGAUGAGUCUUAUUUCCCCCACCAGUACCUAUCUCUUCCGGUAGCUUAAUUUUGUUUUUUUUUGUUUUUCAUUUGCUGUUGCGUUUAAUUUGUUGUUGUGAUUAUAGUUAUUUGUCAUUGUGAUUAGUUACUUGCUGUUGUGUUUUUUAAUUUGUUCUUGUUUAGUUAUUGGCUGUUGUGUUUUGCACUUCAGGGCCACCGUAUUUGAGGGACGUGACCCAAGCUAGUGGAAGGACGAAUGCUCCAACUGAAUGCCCACCCAUCAGACACGCUAUGGCGCAGACACCGACACCAUCCGAGUCUGGGAUGUUUUCAGACCCUGUCUCUGGAGCAGUUACUGUGAUCCUGUACAGAAAAGAGGGAAUUUUAAGAUCUGCAACAUUAUCUGGUAUCUGGUCUUCCUGAAAGGGUGAGCUUAUUCCAACUGACUUUACGCGAGUGGAGGGGUACACCCUUGGACUGGUCAAAGGAUUAUUACCAAAACAAGCCCUGAAAAUGAAAACAAUUGAACACAUCGUCAUCCCCACCGGCAUUAGCAGGGAUAAUGAAUGUUCGCCCCAAUCACCAGCUCUCAGCCUGUGGCUUUAGCUUCAGAUCUGCAGAAAAUGAAUAAAAAAAUGAACAUUGCAUUUUUUUUCCCAAAAUCUUUAGAAUUGUCUCUCAA